UACGAGUGGUGCAAGCGUUAUUCGGAUUUACUGGGCGUAAAGGGUGUGUAGGCGGCAAAUCAAGUCCAUUGUUAAAGAUCUCGGCCUAACCGGGAAAGUGCGAUGGAAACUGAUUUGAUAGAGAUUGGAAGAGAGAAGUGGAAUUCUCGGAGUAGCGGUAAAAUGCGUAGAUAUCGAGAGGAACACCGAUGGCGAAGGCAGCUUCUUGGUCCACAUCUGACGCUGAUACACGAAAGCGUGGGGAGCAAACAGG
rnacentral:rRNA from 1 species